rnacentral:rRNA from 1 species
ACUCCUACGGGAGGCAGCAGUGGGGAAUAUUGGACAAUGGACCAAAAGUCUGAUCCAGCAAUUCUGUGUGUUUGAUGAAGGCCUUCGGGUUGUAAAGAACUUUCAGUGGGGAAGAAGCAAGUGACGGUACCCACAGAAGAAGCGACGGCUAAAUACGUGCCAGCAGCCGCGGUAAUACGUAUGUCGCAAGCGUUAUCCGGAAUUAUUGGGCAUAAAGGGCGUCUAGGCGGUCUAAUAAGUCUGAUGUGAAAAUGCGGGGCUCAACUCCGUAUUGCGUUGGAAACUGUUAGACUAGAGUUUUGGAGAGGUAGGCGGAACUACAAGUGUAGAGGUGAAAUUCGUAGAGAUUUGUAGGAAUGCCGAUGACGAAGGUAGCUUACUGGACAAAUACUGACGCUGAAGCGCGAAAAGCUAGGGGAGC